CUCCUGAUCUCAGGUGAUCUGCCCAUGUUGGCCUCCCAACGUGCUGGGAUUACAGGCAUGAGCCACCACGCCCGACCUGAAGGUAGUUCUUAAAGUCUAGAGUGAUUUCCUUGUGUUAGAAGAAAGAUUGUUAGGGGAGAGAACUGCUGCCUGUUGAAUGUUUCCCACUUGUCAGUCCUGUGCCUGGGUGCUUGGGAACGUGAUGUUAUGGGAAGAAAAGGAAGAGAGAGACAAGUGAUGAUAUUCUUACCUAGCCUCACUAGUAACUAUGUGACUUUAGGCAGGUUGGUUACCUUCCUUGAGCUUCAGUCUUGUCACAAUUAAUUGGGAUGAACACACCUCUAUCAUCAAUAUCUGGGGUCACAGCUCCAAUGUCCCCUGGGGCCAGACUUAGCACCUCACAGAUGCUUGGGCCUGGAAAUGAAGCCAUGAAAAUGAAGCCCUCAGCCUUCUUGGAGAUCAGAGCCAUGGUCCUCACCCACAGCACAUGGGUCUCUAAACCUGGACCUCAACUCGCCCAUCUGUAAAAUGAGGGACUUACAUUAAAUUCCUACAGCUCCUUUCAGCUUGAA